GAUGAACGCUGGCGGCGUGCCUAAUACAUGCAAGUCGAGCGAACGGACGAGAAGCUUGCUUCUCUGAUGUUAGCGGCGGACGGGUGAGUAACACGUGGAUAACCUACCUAUAAGACUGGGAUAACUUCGGGAAACCGGAGCUAAUACCGGAUAAUAUUUUGAACCGCAUGGUUCAAAAGUGAAAGACGGUCUUGCUGUCACUUAUAGAUGGAUCCGCGCUGCAUUAGCUAGUUGGUAAGGUAACGGCUUACCAAGGCAACGAUGCAUAGCCGACCUGAGAGGGGGACCGGCCACACUGGAACGGGAACCAGGCCCAGACCCCUGCGGGAGGCAAAAGGGGGGUAUCUUCGGCAAGGGGCGAAGGCCGGACGGAGAAACCCCGGGGGAGGGAGAAAGUUUUUCGGAUCUAAAAACCUUUUUAUGGGGAAAAAAAAGAUUGGAAAGAAAAUGGGCCCACUUGGAGGGUACCUAAUAAAAAAGCCAGGGCAAACUCCGUC
rnacentral:rRNA from 1 species